UGCCUGUAAGACUGGGAUAACUCCGGGAAACCGGGGCUAAUACCGGAUACUUGUUUGAACCGCAUGGUUCAAACAUAAAAGGUGGCUUCGGCUACCACUUACAGAUGGACCCGCGGCGCAUUAGCUAGUUGGUGAGGUAAUGGCUCACCAAGGCAACGAUGCGUAGCCGACCUGAGAGGGUGAUCGGCCACACUGGGACUGAGACACGGCCCAGACUCCUACGGGAGGCAGCAGUGGUCAU
rnacentral:rRNA from 1 species